rnacentral:rRNA from 1 species
GAUGAACGCUGGCGGCGUGCCUAACACAUGCAAGUCGAACGGACAUUUUUUGGAAAGCUCUUCGGAACUGGAAUCUAAAUGUUAGUGGCGGACGGGUGAGUAACGCGUGAGCAAUCUGCCUUUCAGAGGGGGAUAACAGCCGGAAACGGCUGCUAAUACCGCAUAAUGCAUCGGAUUCGCAUGUUUCUGAUGCCAAAGAUUUUAUCGCUGAAAGAUGAGCUCGCGUCUGAUUAGCUAGUUGGCGGGGUAACGGCCCACCAAGGCGACGAUCAGUAGCCGGCCUGAGAGGGUGACGGCCACAUUGGGACUGAGACACGGCCCAA